rnacentral:rRNA from 1 species
AGUGAACGCUGGCGGUAGGCCUAACACAUGCAACUCGAACGGCAGCACAGUAAGAGCUUGCUCUUACGGGUGGCGAGUGGCGGACGGGUGAGGAAUACAUCGGAAUCUACUUUUUCGUGGGGGAUAACGUAGGGAAACUUACGCUAAUACCGCAUACGACCUACGGGUGAAAGCAGGGGAUCUUCGGACCUUGCGCGAUUGAAUGAGCCGAUGUCGGAUUAGCUAGUUGGCGGGGUAAAGGCCCACCAAGGCGACGAUCCGUAGCUGGUAUGAGAGGAUGUGACGCCACACUAGAACUGUGACACGUUCCAGACUCCUAGGGGAGGGAGCAGUGGGGAAUAUUGGACAAUGGGCGCAAGCCUGAUCCAGCCAUACCGCGUGGGUGAAGAAGGCCUUCGGGUUGUAAAGCCCGUUUGUUGGGAAAGAAAAGCAGCAGGUUAAUACCCCGCUGUUCUGACGGUACCCAAAGAAUAAGCACCGGCUAACUUCGUG